AGAGUUUGAUCCUGGCUCAGAUUGAACGCUGGCGGCAGGCCUAACACAUGCAAGUCGAGCGGUAGCACAGAGAGCUUGCUCUCGGGUGACGAGCGGCGGACGGGUGAGUAAUGUCUGGGAAACUGCCUGAUGGAGGGGGAUAACUACUGGAAACGGUAGCUAAUACCGCAUAAUGUCGCAAGACCAAAGUGGGGGACCUUCGGGCCUCAUGCCAUCAGAUGUGCCCAGAUGGGAUUAGCUAGUAGGUGGGGUAACGGCUCACCUAGGCGACGAUCCCUAGCUGGUCUGAGAGGAUGACCAGCCACACUGGAACUGAGACACGGUCCAGACUCCUACGGGAGGCAGCAGUGGGGAAUAUUGCACAAUGGGCGCAAGCCUGAUGCAGCCAUGCCGCGUGUGUGAAGAAGGCCUUCGGGUUGUAAAGCACUUUCAGCGGGGAGGAAGGCGUUAAGGUUAAUAACCUUGUCGAUUGACGUUACCCGCAGAAGAAGCACCGGCUAACUCCGUGCCAGCAGCCGCGGUAAUACGGAGGGUGCAAGCGUUAAUCGGAAUUACUGGGCGUAAAGCGCACGCAGGCGGUCUGUCAAGUCGGGUGUGAAAUCCCCGGGCUCAACCUGGGAACUGCAUUCGAAACUGGCAGGCUAGAGUCUUGUAGAGGGGGGUAGAAUUCCAGGUGUAGCGGUGAAAUGCGUAGAGAUCUGGAGGAAUACCGGUGGCGAAGGCGGCCCCCUGGACAAAGACUGACGCUCAGGUGCGAAAGCGUGGGGAGCAAACAGGAUUAGAUACCCUGGUAGUCCACGCCGUAAACGAUGUCGAUUUGGAGGUUGUGCCCUUGAGGCGUGGCUUCCGGAGCUAACGCGUUAAAUCGACCGCCUGGGGAGUACGGCCGCAAGGUUAAAACUCAAAUGAAUUGACGGGGGCCCGCACAAGCGGUGGAGCAUGUGGUUUAAUUCGAUGCAACGCGAAGAACCUUACCUGGUCUUGACAUCCACAGAACUUUCCAGAGAUGGAUUGGUGCCUUCGGGAACUGUGAGACAGGUGCUGCAUGGCUGUCGUCAGCUCGUGUUGUGAAACGUUGGGUUAAGUCCCGCAACGAGCGCAACCCUUAUCCUUUGUUGCCAGCGGUUAGGCCGGGAACUCAAAGGAGACUGCCAGUGAUAAACUGGAGGAAGGUGGGGAUGACGUCAAGUCAUCAUGGCCCUUACGACCAGGGCUACACACGUGCUACAAUGGCAUAUACAAAGAGAAGCGACCUCGCGAGAGCAAGCGGACCUCAUAAAGUAUGUCGUAGUCCGGAUUGGAGUCUGCAACUCGACUCCAUGAAGUCGGAAUCGCUAGUAAUCGUAGAUCAGAAUGCUACGGUGAAUACGUUCCCGGGCCUUGUACACACCGCCCGUCACACCAUGGGAGUGGGUUGCAAAAGAAGUAGGUAGCUUAACCUUCGGGAGGGCGCUUACCACUUUGUGAUUCAUGACUGGGGUGAAGUCGUAACAAGGUAACCGUA
rnacentral:rRNA from 1 species